AGCGAACGCUGGCGGCAGGCCUAACACAUGCAAGUCGAACGAACCUUUCGGGGUUAGUGGCGGACGGGUGAGUAACACGUGGGAACGUGCCUUUAGGUUCGGAAUAACUCAGGGAAACUUGUGCUAAUACCGAAUGUGCCCUUCGGGGGAAAGAUUUAUCGCCUUUAGAGCGGCCCGCGUCUGAUUAGCUAGUUGGUUGAGGUAAUGGCUCACCAAGGCGACGAUCAGUAGCUGGUCUGAGAGGAUGAUCAGCCACAUUGGGACUGGGACACGGCCCAAACUCCUACGGGAGGCAGCAGUGGGGAAUCUUGCGCAAUGGGCGAAAGCCUGACGCAGCCAUGCCGCGUGAAUGAUGAAGGUCUUAGGAUUGUAAAAUUCUUUCACCGGGGACGAUAAUGACGGUACCCGGAGAAGAAGCCCCGGCUAACUUCGUG
rnacentral:rRNA from 1 species